GGAAAGGCCCCUUCGGGGGUACUCGAGUGGCGAACGGGUGAGUAACACGUGGGCAAUCUGCCCUGCACUUCGGGAUAAGCCUGGGAAACUGGGUCUAAUACCGGAUAGGACCUUUAGGCGCAUGUCUUUAGGUGGAAAGCUUUUGCGGUGUGGGAUGGGCCCGCGGCCUAUCAGCUUGUUGGUGGGGUGAUGGCCUACCAAGGCGACGACGGGUAGCCGGCCUGAGAGGGUGUCCGGCCACACUGGGACUGAGAUACGGCCCAGACUCCUACGGGAGGCAGCAGUGGGGAAUAUUGCACAAUGGGCGCAAGCCUGAUGCAGCGACGCCGCGUGGGGGAUGACGGCCUUCGGGUUGUAAACCUCUUUCACCAUCGACGAAGGUCCGGGUUUUCUCGGAUUGACGGUAGGUGGAGAAGAAGCACCGGCCAACUACGUGCCAGCAGCCGCGGUAAUACGUAGGGUGCGAGCGUUGUCCGGAAUUACUGGGCGUAAAGAGCUCGUAGGUGGUUUGUCGCGUUGUUCGUGAAAUCUCACGGCUUAACUGUGAGCGUGCGGGCGAUACGGGCAGACUAGAGUACUGCAGGGGAGACUGGAAUUCCUGGUGUAGCGGUGGAAUGCGCAGAUAUCAGGAGGAACACCGGUGGCGAAGGCGGGUCUCUGGGCAGUAACUGACGCUGAGGAGCGAAAGCGUGGGGAGCGAACAGGAUUAGAUACCCUGGUAGUCCACGCCGUAACGGUGGGUACUAGGUGUGGGUUUCCUUCCUUGGGAUCCGUGCCGUAGCUGACGCAUUAAGUACCCCGCCUGGGGAGUACGGCCGCAAGGCUAAAACUCAAGGAAUUGACAGGGGCCCGCACAAGCGGCGGAGCAUGUGGAUUAAUUCGAUGCAACGCGAGAACCUUACCUGGGUUUGACAUGCACAGGACGCGUCUAGAGAUAGCGUCCUGUG
rnacentral:rRNA from 1 species